AUGUUGCAUGAUGAUACUGCAUUAUACACAAUACAUUGAUUGAUUGAUUGAUUGAUUGUCCGUCCGUAAAUCAUUUCAUUGUUUAAAUUCCACAUUUAACUGGUCAUCUCUUUCUCUCUCUGUCACUCCAGUUGAGAACAUUUGGCUAUCUGAGACCUAUAUCUGGAGUUGUCCAUACCCACACUAUGGCUUGGGAGGCGAUUGAAUUAGGGCGCAAUUUGAAGUACGACCCGAUU